AGCAGUGUAGCGUAGCGGUUAGCGCACCGGGCUAGCGGUUCGGAGGUUGCGGGUUCGAUGUACAGGUGACUGUAA
rnacentral:tRNA from 1 species